rnacentral:rRNA from 1 species
UCUGCUUAACACAUGCAAGUCGAACGGGCUCUUCGGAGCUAGUGGCGGACGGGUGAGUAACGCGUGAGAAUCUGCCUUCAGGAGGGGGAUAACGACUGGAAACGGUCGCUAAUACCCCAUAUGCCUCCGGGUGAAAAGUAAUUCGCCUGAAGAUGAGCUCGCGUCAGAUUAGCUAGUUGGUGGGGUAAGAGCCUACCAAGGCGACGAUCUGUAGCUGGUCUGAGAGGAUGAUCAGCCACACUGGGACUGAGACACGGCCCAGACUCCUACGGGAGGCAGCAGUGGGGAAUUUUCCGCAAUGGGCGCAAGCCUGACGGAGCAAGACCGCGUGGGGGAUGACGGCCUAAUGGUUGUAAACCCCUUUUCUCUGGGAAGAAGACUGACGGUACCAGAGGAAUCAGCCUCGGCUAACUCCGUGCCAGCAGCCGCGGUAAUACGGAGGAGGCAAGCGUUAUCCGGAAUUAUUGGGCGUAAAGCGUCCGUAGGUGGUUAUUCAAGUCUGCUGUCAAAGCGUGGGGCUUAACUCCAUAGAGGCAGUGGAAACUGAGUGACUAGAGUGCGGUAGGGGUCGAGGGAAUUCCCAGUGUAGCGGUGAAAUGCGUAGAUAUUGGGAAGAACACCAGUGGCGAAAGCGCUCGACUGGGCCUGCACUGACACUGAGGGACGAAAGCUAGGGGAGCGAAAGGGAUUAGAUACCCCUGUAGUCCUAGCCGUAAACGAUGGAUACUAGGUGUUGCUCGUCAUCGACCCGAGCAGUG